UCCUACGGGAGGCAGCAGUGAGGAAUAUUGGUCAAUGGCCGAGAGGCUGAACCAGCCAAGUCGCGUGAGGGAAGACGGCCCUACGGGUUGUAAACCUCUUUUGUCGGGGAGCAAAGCGAGUCACGUGUGACUCGUUGAGAGUACCCGAAGAAAAAGCAUCGGCUAACUCCGUGCCAGCAGCCGCGGUAAUACGGAGGAUGCGAGCGUUAUCCGGAUUUAUUGGGUUUAAAGGGUGCGCAGGCGGAGGUGCAAGUCAGCGGUCAAAUUGCGGGGCUCAACCCCGUCCUGCCGUUGAAACUGCAUCC
rnacentral:rRNA from 1 species